rnacentral:rRNA from 1 species
UGUUAUAAAAAAUGUAAAUUAAUAAAAAUAGAGUAGUAUUAGUUAUAUUCUUAAAACUUAAUAAAUUUGGCGGUGUUUUAAUCUAUUCAGAGGAACUUGUUUUAUAAUUGAUAAUCCUCAUUAUAUCUUACUUAAUUUAUUAAUUUGUAUACCAUCGUCAUAAGAAUCUCUUAAAAAAGAAAUAAUUUUCUUGAUAAUUUAUUAUUUAAAAUGUCAGAUCAAGGUGCAGUUUAUAAUUAAGAAAAAAUGAGUUACAAUAAAUUUAUUUAUAUGGAUUUUAAAUUUAAAAAUUUAAUUGAAAGUGGAUUUGAUAGUAAAAUAAAUUAAAGAGUUUAUUUGAUUUUAGUUCUAAAAUAUGCACAAAUCGCCCG